rnacentral:rRNA from 1 species
UACGGAGGGUGCAAGCGUUAUCCGGAUUCACUGGGUUUAAAGGGUGCGUAGGUGGGCAGUUAAGUCAGUGGUGAAAUCUCCGGGCUUAACCCGGAAACUGCCAUUGAUACUAUUUGUCUUGAAUACUGUGGAGGUCAGCGGAAUAUGUCAUGUAGCGGUGAAAUGCUUAGAUAUGACAUAGAACACCAAUUGCGAAGGCAGCUGGCUACACAAAUAUUGACACUGAGGCACGAAAGCGUGGGGAUCAAACAGG